ensembl:lncRNA novel transcript
GCACUUCGAAAUAUUUACAAAAUUGCUGAAUAUUUUAAUUACAUAAUUAAUAUUUAAACAAAAAACAGACUUGAGACUAAAUUUAUCAAUGGCCUAAGCAUGAGAAACAUGUUUGAUAAAUAUUAUUCAUUGUCUGACAACCCUGAGUGGAAUACGAGUAAUUCCACCUGGAUGACCUCCUGGAAACUCAUUUUCCAUUUGGGGAAUUAUAAGAAAAUAAUUCCUUCCAUCCCCUAAAGGUGUGAGUGCAUGUGUGUCUAUGUGUUUAGGAGCUUAUUAACAAUGAUGUCAUAUCAAUUUAUUGGUUAUCAGAAACCAGAUUUUCAGGUGUAUCGGCCUCCCAGGGCUUUCCAAGAUAACCUUGGAUGAUUCUGAUAAAAGGUUUAGAAUCUGGUAUUUAAAUCUGGCAUAAAAAUAAAUCCAUAUUGGUGUGAUCCUAGUUAUGACCAAGCUCCUUUAACAAUUUAGACAUUUACUGUAUGAUAUAUGUAUUUGGUUUUAAAAUUUCCCUAAGAAACAACUGAAGAUGCUGGAUUCAAAUUAUGGAGAGGUUAAACAAGGAAAAAAAUUGCAAAACAAUGACAAAGAAUAUGGCUUUAUUUGCAUACUAACACAUGAAAAUUCACUUUUCACUUCAACAUGAGUAUAAAAAAAUUCAGCAUGUAGCAGGGACAGAUAGUAUAUGAAGAGGAGUGAAUCUGAGCUGUUUUGAGAAUAACAAUAUUUUCUAUUUCUAUGAAGACAGCUUUGAACUCAUCCAUUAGCAUAGGCUGGUGCUUUCCUGUUGACAUUAGUCACAGAAUUUAAAGGCAGAAAAUGUUAUUGCACAUUUAGUAAUCAAGUGUUUAUCGAAGUUAAUGUUUGGAUAUUAAGGGUAUCAGAACCAGUGUUAUUAAGACUGCAAUUUUUUUCUUUUUGUCUGUUCAAACAUGGUAUAUUUUCUGCUCAUCAUUUUAUCAAUUCUGGUAGUGUUUGCAUUUGUUCUUGGAAAUUUUUCCAAUGGCUUCAUAGCUCUAGUAAAUGUCAUUGACUGGGUUAAGACACGAAAGAUCUCCUCAGCUGACCAAAUCCUCACUGCUCUGGUGGUCUCCAGAAUUGGUUUACUCUGGGUCAUAUUAUUACAUUGGUAUGCAAAUGUGUUUAAUUCAGCUUUAUAUAGUUCAGAAGUAGGAGCUGUUGCUUCUAAUAUCUCAGCAAUAAUCAACCAUUUCAGCAUCUGGCUUGCUGCUAGCCUCAGCAUAUUUUAUUUGCUCAAGAUUGCCAAUUUCUCCAACCUUAUUUUUCUCCACCUAAAGAAGAGAAUUAGGAGUGUUGUUCUGGUGAUACUGUUGGGUCCCUUGGUAUUUUUGAUUUGUAAUCUUGCUGUGAUAACCAUGGAUGACAGUGUGUGGACAAAAGAAUAUGAAGGAAAUGUGACUUGGAAGAUCAAAUUGAGGAAUGCAAUACACCUUUCAAACUUGACUGUAAGCACACUAGCAAACCUCAUACCCUUCAUUCUGACCCUAAUAUGUUUUCUGCUGUUAAUCUGUUCUCUGCAUAAACAUCUCAAGAAGAUGCAGCUCCAUGGCAAAGGAUCUCAAGAUCUCAGCACCAAGGUCCACAUAAAAGCUUUGCAAACUGUGAUCUCCUUCCUCAUGUUAUAUGCCAUUUACUUUCUGUAUCUAAUCACAUUAACCUGGAAUCUUUGAACACAGCAGAACAAACUUGUAUUCCUGCUUUGCCAAACUCUUGGAAUCAUGUAUCCUUCAUUCCACUCAUUCUUCCUGAUUAUGGGAAGCAGGAAACUAAAACAGACGUUUCUUUCAGUUUUAUGUCAGGUCACAUGCUUAGUGAAAGGACAGCAACCCUCAACUCCAUAGAUUCACAAGGGGUGCAUCGUGUGUCUUCUAGCAGAAAACAAACUGAUGAUGUCUUGAACAUUUUAUAUUUCUAUCAGUUUUUCCAUAGUGUAUGUAUUUGAGUAAUUUCAGAAUAGAUAUCUAUAAAAGUCUUACAUAUAUAUAUGGUUGUAUAUGUGUGCAUGUGUAUAAAUAACAACAUUGACCAUAAACUAUGAAGCUGAGUAUAUUUCACAUAUACAAUGUAUGUAUAUUUUCUUAUAGUUCAUUGUAUAAUAUUUCAUUUGAAGAUUUUAUUUUCUCUUUUUAAAAUUAGGAUCUUACAGCUUUUAUCAGGAAAUUAUUGCUGUUUUCCAUUGCAAUUUGUAUCACAUAUAUGUACUUAACUAUCAUUGGUGAACCCCUAAUUGUUUGGAUGGUAAAGAAGUUUAAUAUUAAAUCAAUGAUGAGAAUGUAUCUUUGGGGUAGGUUUUAUUUCAUUAGGAAUUCUUAUUUUACGUUUGGUAGAAAGCAAAUAGAAUUGUUAGCUAAUGAUGCACACAAUAAAAUUUUAGUGACAAAGAUA